rnacentral:lncRNA from 1 species
UGUGCAGUUGCAGCUGCCUCAUGUUAGUAGCAACCUGGUUGCUGAGAAAUAAAAAAUAACGCAACAAGCUCCUUUUAAAAGGUAAUGCUCCAAACUUUGAUCUCUCAGCAGAUAUAAACGUUCUCAGUUUCUGUCAUGCUCUUCCUUCUUGUUUCCAGGAAGAACACAACAGCAUUAAUGUUGGGGAUGGAGGUAGCCCUGAAAUAGGAGGCAAUGGCAUUGGGAACAACUUUGUAGCUUCUCCAGGGGACAGUGAUACCAUUAGUAUUGGUGAUGGAGGUGACCCUGUUAUAGGAGGCAACGGUAUUGGGAACAAUUUUGUAGCUGCUCCAGGAGGAGGAGACAGCAUUAGUGUCGGUGAUGGAGGCAGCCCUGUUAUAGAAGGCAAUGGCAUUGGGGUAAGUUGAACUCUAUAGGAUUCGAGGCAACUGCUAUUUGAGCCAACUCAUAAUUUCUCAGAAAUGAUCUGCCUUAAACACAUGAACAUCUGUAUUUUAUCAAAUCCCCCUCCCUUUACCUCAAGAAGUUGUAUACACCUUUAAAUGUUGUGAUGCUUUACCUAAUACAAUGGAAAGGAAUUUGUGGCACAUGAUAAAAGGAAUUUCAAGAGGAAUAACAAUAAGGGAAUCCUGUAAACUAAAAAAAUAAGGAGAUAAAUGUGGAAAAAUUGGAAGAAGAAUUGAGAAAUUUGGAAAACAAGGGUUUUUUUUCAUAAAGAGAUAGAAGAAUAUUGGCAGAAAUUCAGGCAAAGAGAAAGGAACUAGAAAACUUAGAGAUAGAAAAAGUUCAGAGGGAUUUGUAUAUAAAGAGGAAUUUUUUUUAGUUUAGCAAUAAAAAUUCAAAAUUGUUAGCUAGAAUGUGCA